AGUGAACGCUGGCGGUAGACCUAACACAUGCAAGUCGAACGGCAGCACAGUAAGCGCUUGCUCUUACGGGUGGCGAGUGGCGGACGGGUGAGGCAUACAUCGGAAUCUACUUUUUCGUGGGUGAUAACGUAGGGAAACUUACGCUAAUACCGCAUACGACCUACGGGUUAAAGCAGGAGAUCUUCGGACCUUGCGCGAUUGAAUGAGCCGAUGUCGGAUUGGCUAGUUGGCGGGGUAAAGGCCCACCAAGGCGACGAUCCGUAGCUGGUCUGAGAGGAUGAUCAGCCACACUGGAACUGAGACACGGUCCAGACUCCUACGGGAGGCAGCAGUAGGGAAUAUUGGACAAUGGGCGCAAGCCUGAUCCAGCAAUACCGCGUGGGUGAAGAAGGCCUUCGGGUUGUAAAGCCCUUUUGUUGGGAAAGAAAAGCAGCAGGUUAAUACCCCGCUGUUCUGACGGUACCCAAAGAAUAAGCACCGGCUAACUUCGUG
rnacentral:rRNA from 1 species